rnacentral:rRNA from 1 species
CAUGCAGUCGAACGCUUCUUUUUCCACCGGAGCUUGCUCCACCGGAAAAAGAGGAGUGGCGAACGGGUGAGUAACACGUGGGUAACCUGCCCAUCAGAAGGGGAUAACACUUGGAAACAGGUGCUAAUACCGUAUAACAAUCGAAACCGCAUGGUUUUGAUUUGAAAGGCGCUUUCGGGUGUCGCUGAUGGAUGGACCCGCGGUGCAUUAGCUAGUUGGUGAGGUAACGGCUCACCAAGGCCACGAUGCAUAGCCGACCUGAGAGGGUGAUCGGCCACAUUGGGACUGAGACACGGCCCAAACUCCUACGGGAGGCAGCAGUAGGGAAUCUUCGGCAAUGGACGAAAGUCUGACCGAGCAACGCCGCGUGAGUGAAGAAGGUUUUCGGAUCGUAAAACUCUGUUGUUAGAGAAGAACAAGGAUGAGAGUAACUGUUCAUCCCUUGACGGUAUCUAACCCGAAAGCCACGGCUAACUACGUGCCAGCAGCCGCGGUAAUACGUAGGUGGGGAGCGUUGUCCCGAUUUUUUGGGCGCCCUAAAGAGCGCAGGCGGUUUCUUAAGUCUGAUGUGGGAAAACCCCCCCUCCUCAGCGGGGGAAGGGUCUUGGGCCCUGGGAAGACUGGAGUGAAGAAGAGGAGAGAGGAAUUCCAUGGUGUAGCGGUGAAAUGCACACAUAUAUGGAGUAACACCAUGUGACGAAGGCGGUUCUAUGGUCUAUAAGUGAUGCUGACGUUCUAAAGCGUG